ACGGCCGCAAGGCUAAAACUCAAAGGAAUUGACGGGGGCCCGCACAAGCGGCGGAGCAUGCGGAUUAAUUCGAUGCAACGCGAAGAACCUUACCAAGGCUUGACAUGAACCGGAAAGACCUGGAAACAGGUGCCCCGCUUGCGGUCGGUUUACAGGUGGUGCAUGGUUGUCGUCAGCUCGUGUCGUGAGAUGUUGGGUUAAGUCCCGCAACGAGCGCAACCCUCGUUCUAUGUUGCCAGCACGUGAUGGUGGGGACUCAUAGGAGACUGCCGGGGUCAACUCGGAGGAAGGUGGGGACGACGUCAAAUCAUCAUGCCCCUUAUGUCUUGGGCUUCACGCAUGCUACAAUGGCCGGUACAAAGGGUUGCGAUACUGUGAGGUGGAGCUAAUCCCAAAAAGCCGGUCUCAGUUCGGAUUGGGGUCUGCAACUCGACCCCAUGAAGUCGGAGUCGCUAGUAAUCGCAGAUCAGCAACGCUGCGGUGAAUACGUUCCCGGGCCUUGUACACACCGCCCGUCAAGUCACGAAAGUUGGUAACACCCGAAGCCGGUGGCCUAACCCCUUGUGGGAGGGAGCUGUCGAAGGUGGGACUGGCGAUUGGGACUAAGUCGUAACAAGGUAGCCGUACCGGAAGGUGCGGC
rnacentral:rRNA from 1 species